UACGUAGGGAGCAAGCGUUGUUCGGAUUUACUGGGCGUAAAGGGCGCGUAGGCGGCCAGCGCAAGUCAGUUGUGAAAUCUCCGGGCUUAACUCGGAACGGUCAACUGAUACUGCACGGCUAGAGUGCGGAAGGGGCAACUGGAAUUCUCGGUGUAGCGGUGAAAUGCGUAGAUAUCGAGAGGAACACCUGCGGCGAAGGCGGGUUGCUGGGCCGACACUGACGCUGAUGCGCGAAAGCCAGGGGAGCGAACGGG
rnacentral:rRNA from 1 species